CUAGUCUCUCAUAGAAACUUCUGGCCUCUGGACACUGUGGGAGCAACUUUUCCUUUAUUAGACUGUCUCCUCUUUAACUGUACCUAGAAGAUACUUUAGCACAGCAAGCAUCUCUUUUAUGCUUACAUUAUGCAGUUAUGCAGACUUGGUGUACGUCCUUCAAGGACAGUCUAAGAAUCUUUGAUUCUAUUUCUGCUGGAUACAUUGUUGCAGAGAUGUAAGAAGGAAGGACUUAGAAAAGAAUAUUGCAGCAUGACUGGGAAGCCUGUCCUUCAUUACUUCAAUUGAAGAAGAAGAAUGGAGUCCAUCCGGUGGCUCCUGGCAGCAGCUGGAGUAGAGUUUGAGGAAGAACUUUUUGAAACCCAUGAAGAGUUUGAGAAGUUAAUCCAAGGUGGAACCCUGAUGUACGAGCAAGUGCCCAUGGUGGAAAUCGAUGGAAUGACUUUGGUGCAGACCAGUGCCAUCUUAAGAUAUGUAGCUGCAAAAUAUGACUUGUAUGGAAGGAACCUGGAGGAACAAGCCUGGAUUGAUAUGUAUGUAGAGGGCUUAAGAGACCUGAGCGACAUGAUAAUGUACUUUCCACUCUCUCUGCCAGAAGAGAAGGAGAUGAACCUUGAAUACAUCCUCCACCGAGCUACAACAAGAUUCUUCCCCGUUUAUGAGAAGGCCCUGAGAGACCACGGGCAAGACUUUCUUGUGGGCAAUCGGCUGAGCUUGGCUGAUGUCCAGCUCCUUGAAGUCAUCUUAAUGGCUGAAGAAUGCAAAGCCAGUGUUCUCUCGGGUUUCCCUCUGCUACAGGACUUCAAGGUGAGAACCAGCCAAAUUCCUACAAUUAACAGCUUCCUCCAACCUGGAAGCCAGAGGAAGCCUCCUUUGGAGGAGCGAUCCAUUGGGACUGCAAAGGACAUAUUCAAAUUUGAAUGAGGACUGUUUCUUAAAAACAUGAGCAAUAUAGUAGCUGAGUAUUAACAGCUACAGAGGCUGGAGUUACUCAGUAAGUAUACUGAGUAACUUGACACUGCAUUCAUAAAAAGACACUCACUAAGUAUAUGGCCAGAGAAAUAUCCUGAAGUUAGUAAUAAAUGUUAGGAAUCUUAGUAUGUUAGCAAUGUUAGAAUGUUAGUAAUGGAAAUAUUAAAUGUGUAAGAGAAAAACUACUAGAAGCUUAUCAAUAAACUACAAGAACCAACUCUUGUUUGAAGUAAGACAGGCUACCAAGACAGAAUUCAGAAAAUCCAAGGAGCCCUCGGCCUUCUGUAUGAUCCUAGAAUAAACUUGUAUGUAGCAAGUGAAA
rnacentral:lncRNA from 1 species